rnacentral:rRNA from 1 species
GGGGAUAACAGGCUGAUACCGCCCAAGAGUUCAUAUCGACGGCGGUGUUUGGCACCUCGAUGUCGGCUCAUCACAUCCUGGGGCUGAAGUAGGUCCCAAGGGUAUGGCUGUUCGCCAUUUAAAGUGGUACGCGAGCUGGGUUUAGAACGUCGUGAGACAGUUCGGUCCCUAUCUGCCGUGGGCGCUGGAGAACUGAGGGGGGCUGCUCCUAGUACGAGAGGACCGGAGUGGACGCAUCACUGGUGUUCGGGUUGUCAUGCCAAUGGCACUGCCCGGUAGCUAAAUGCGGAAGAGAUAAGUGCUGAAAGCAUCUAAGCACGAAACUUGCCCCGAGAUGAGUUCUCCCUGAGACUUAGAGUCUCCUGAAGGAACGUUGAAGACGACGACGUUGAUAGGCCGGGUGUGUAAGCGCAGCGAUGCGUUGAGCUAACCGGUACUAAUGAACCGUGAGGCUUAACCUUAC